AUGAUGAUGUCCUGAUGCCUUCCAGUAGAGGGGUCCUGGUCAUCCUUCCACCACUACACAGUCCCAGAUAAACGAUGGAAAAUGGAUGGAGGGAAUUAUUUUUUUCACGUGGGUGACAGGUGUUGAAUAACUGCUUACAUAUACAUUGUGAAAUAAAUGCAAGUCCACAACAAUGGUGUGUGUUUUUGUUGAGACUGCUACCAAUAGCACACAAGAGGAGGCCUGUGUUAUGGAAAUUUUUAAUAUUGUUAAUCUUGCAUUGAUUGCAUUAAUCUCAUUUAAGUAUCUUCUUAAACAUACAAUGAUCAAAGUAGUAUAUAGUCCAUAGGGACAUUGAGUUAUUUUAUGUAACUUGUGCACAUAACUGCUUUAGGUUGAAAUACAACAUUUAAGGGGAAACUGUUUACCAGGGACUGGCAGUUUUGAGAGAAACCAGACAUCUACCAUGUAAUGUGCAUGAGAAGUGCAUGUGUCAUGGGGUGAUGUGCACUGAGCAACAUGAUUGGCUCAAAGGUCCUAAUCUGUCCUUCAAUGUAUCUUUUUACAUACUAUAAAAAGUGUGUUGUGAGUCUGUGUGUUAUCUCUUUGCACACAGACUCAAGCUGUGUGUAAACCAGAUCAUUCUCUGCAGAGAAUUAAAGCAAUACAAAGACAAAACUCUGUUUGGUGUUUCAUUCUCAGUCUCUACAAAUUGUUAUUGAAUUAGAAUUUCCACAACAAACUUGGCGACGAGUGACGGGAUUCCACAGCUGAUCGUCCGGGACCUGAGGACGUUAGUUGGCUGAUCACCCUAGACCCACAAAGGGUUUAGCCCUAAACCCCAAAAGGUUUCAGGGAAGGGGGGACUGACGUCUGAGGGCUUGUGGACCUUCACUGCUGGUUUUCUCAAUGGAUCAGAAAAACGCGUGCUACAAACAGAUCAUGGGGGAGACCUGUGGCCUAUUUUUCGAGUAAGCUCGAUCCGGUAGCAGCAGGCAUGACAAAAUGCCUGAGAGCUGUUGCAUCUGCAGAAAAAGCUAUUUUAUCUUCAAGGGAAAUUUUGGGGUACUCUGAUGUGACUUUGCUCGUGCCACGCUCGAUCUCUGUGAUCCUGUUGGAACAGAAAACAUCCCAUUUGUCAACCGACAGAUGGCUCAGCAUGCAAGCUUUUGCCACAGCAGAGGAGAAGAAACAAUGGGUGAAGGCCAAGUGCAAACUGAUAAACAACCUUUGGCUGAGUACUGAAGGCAGACCAUGUCUACCAAAACACUUUUUCCCACACUAUGCAAAACUUAUACAUGGCCUAGAUCACAUGAGUUAAGGGGGAAUGUUUGAUUUGCUAAAUCAAUAUUGGUUCAAAAGGGGAUUCACUUUCUUUGCGGAAAGGUAUUGUCAAUCAUGUAUGAUCUGUGCCACAAGCAAAGUGGCAGAGAGAGCUACGUGGGUACAUGCAAGUCACUGCAGGAAGGUUCCAGUUCCACCAGACAGCUACAGCUCAGUAAAGUGAUUGACCAGCUGCCCCAUGCCAAGGGGGACGUCUGGCUGACUUAGGUGAACAAACAUACAGUGGUGUAUGGGAGCUGAACACGCAGCAACAUCACUGUGUGGGAGUGAUCUGGGGUCAGUUUGGGCCAACGGAUGAAAGCAAGGGACUUAAGCUGUUAGAAAACCUACCAUCCGACCACUGCAGCGAAACUACAAGACCAACUCGACAAGAGGAAACACAGGCUGUGGAACGGAGAGGAGAAGUUCUUCCAUGCUGUAGUUCUGGUGCUUGGGGUCAGCCUUCUUCAAAUUGAAGUCCAAAUCAGGAGAUAUGAACUGAACGCUACUAAGGUGGUAAGGGAAGGCGUCAAGAAGGAACUACGAGGGCUGAGGCUCACUGCACAGCAAGACCGACUUGUCCUGGAUCAACUCACCACAUCUCCUGGGUGGGGGGUGUGUGUGUACUUUUGGGAACUGCAUGUGUAUGUAUAUUCCUGAUAACGAUUCUGAUGGCCACGUGAUAGAUGUGGGUAUUAAGAACAUGACUAAUGCAAUUCACAGGUUGACAGCUAUAAUCAAAUAUAAGAGUUGUUUGUUUUCUUUAUAGCUUGCUUAUAUGUUAGGAAUGACUAUAUUCCAUAAAAAAAAACAAUGCAAAUGCUUUUUUUUCGCCUUAUGAGAGUAAUGGUGUUUUAAAUCUUGAAUUUACAUGAUUGAUGUAAACUAUAAGGGUAAAGUGUUCACAAAUUUAUCUACAUUUAAUCAAUAUAAGUGAUCAAUAAUGAUCAAAAGGGAGGAGUGUUAUGGAAAUUUUUAAUAUUGUUAAUCUUGCAUUGAUUGCAUUAAUCUCAUUUAAGUAUCUUCUUAAACAUACAAUGAUCAAAGUAGUAUAUAGUCCAUAGGGACAUUGAGUUAUUUUAUGUAACUUGUGCACAUAACUGCUUUAGGUUGAAAUACAACAUUUAAGGGGAAACUGUUUACCAGGGACUGGCAGUUUUGAGAGAAACCAGACAUCUACCAUGUAAUGUGCAUGAGAAGUGCAUGUGUCAUGGGGUGAUGUGCACUGAGCAACAUGAUUGGCUCAAAGGUCCUAAUCUGUCCUUCAAUGUAUCUUUUUACAUACUAUAAAAAGUGUGUUGUGAGUCUGUGUGUUAUCUCUUUGCACACAGACUCAAGCUGUGUGUAAACCAGAUCAUUCUCUGCAGAGAAUUAAAGCAAUACAAAGACAAAACUCUGUUUGGUGUUUCAUUCUCAGUCUCUACAAAUUGUUAUUGAAUUAGAAUUUCCACAACACCUGUUUGAAAACUAUGAUUAAUUGUGAAGUUCUCUUAUUAUUAUUAUUAUUAUUAUUAUUAUUAUUAUUAUUAUUAUUAUUAUUAUUAUUAUUUGUUUUUUUUUUGUUUUGUUUCUCAUUUUAUUACAUAGCACUAUGGCAAACAUAGCAAGAUCUGUUCAAAGUUCAGUAAUACUGAAAUAAUGUGAUUUGCUCAAUAGCCUUGAGAAAAUCUACUGACACUCCAUCUCUUCAUCUGGAAGAGUGCACUUAUAUGAAGAGUGCACUUAGUCACGGAAAGGACACUGUUUUUCCAGAAGUGGAAAUGGACAGUCUCAUAUUACACUAGCAGCACUCUACUAUAGGUCCUAGUUUGGCCCUUGUCAUAUGUCUCAAAGUGGAGUUGAGAACAGGGUAACAUGGGGAUGCUGCUGUCAUUCACAUGUCCCCUCAUAAAACUAGCACUAUGGAGGAACAGUGAUGUGUCAGACAUAAUGGUACUUUAUUAUCACACUGAGUGUUUUCAUGUAUCACAGUAGGUCUCCAAAGAAUAUUAUGGUCUAAUCAUAUAAAAAAGGACAUGGUAAUACCAAGGUCCAUCAGGUUUGGCAGUGUAGCAGGCACAAGACACACUUGAUUUUAUACUGACAUGAGAAACUGGCCACAUUGGACAGUGGCAUUGCUUUAAUAUGUUUUUAAAUUUUUUGUGAAUAAAAAGUUCACAAUUAUAUUUAAGUGAAAAAUCAUCAGUAGUUACAAGGAUCUAGAGCUAGAACUAGAUACUGGGUCAGUGCAGCAAGUACCCCUGGGUCUAUGACCAUCAGUGGCCUCUGCAAUGCCCAGACAUUUGGAAAUAAGCAUGCAACUACAGAUGUGAAAUUGAUAUAGAGAG
ensembl:lncRNA